UCUGAAAUCCGAGGUGGUCCACCGGGCUGCUGUGCCCUUUGUGUGUGGGGGGUGGAGGAGGGGUCCAGGUACAGCACCUUAUUCAUCACCUUAGGAGAGCUUGGCAUGUCCACACGAUAGACUUCUAGAAACUUCUCUAAGAUGAAAGGUCCCUGAAUUUUUGUUGGAUUUAUUUCCCACCUUCUGACACGUGACUGUGCUAUCAACAUGCCUAGAUGAGCUGUACUUCCUGAUCACUGGGUCCAGUCAGCCUAGUACCAUCACUGGGAUGGGCCAGUGUGACAUCUUCUGGAAGGAAAAGGAGAUGAAGGUUCCUUCUGACUAAAUGACAGCCUAAGUCUGGAGGUCUGAUAUGCCUCUGAGAUAGUUUUCUCUCCUUGCCGGCUGAAAGCUAACUGCCCUGCUGGUCUUUACUCAUAGGAGGAGAACAGAGAGCAUUUUCCUGACCAAUACUUACACACUGGGUGCUUGGGGAUCAAGUGAUGAAGCCCCACGUGCAGCAGUAGCUGCAAUUUGAGACACUCCGAUCACGGUGAUAAUCAUGCACAGUCAUCUCCAAGAUCCAUCCAUCCGUUUUCUGAGUAGGCCCCGUGAGUGACUUCAAUAAGGCCCUUCAGAACAUGGGAUAACGCCUGUUUUUAGUGAAUGGCUGAAUAAAACCAAUUAAUCGUCAAAUUCACUCAGCUGAAUUUUGGUGUGAUCCUGGGAGUAACUAACAGAAGGGCCCUGAAAGAAAACGUGAUUUCCAUUUUUGCUAUAAAGAAUAAAUGAGAAAUUAGUUUCAUGACAAAACUGUAACUAUAAAAUAAGAAAUAAAGUUUGAAGGAAAAAU